CGGAGGAUCAUUAUUGAAAUAAACCUGAUGGGUUGUUGCUGGUUCUCUAGGGGACAUGUGCACGCCUUGUCAUCUUUAUAUCUCCACCUGUGCACUUUUUGUAGACCUUUCCAGGUCUAUGUUGCUUCAUUUUACCCCAACUGUAUGUCAUUAGAAUGUUGUGCCUAUGUAACAUAUACAACUUUCAGCAACGGAUCUCUUGGCUCUCGCAUCGAUGAAGAACGCAGCGAAAUGCGAUAAGUAAUGUGAAUUGCAGAAUUCAGUGAAUCAUCGAAUCUUUGAACGCACCUUGCGCUCCUUGGUAUUCCGAGGAGCAUGCCUGUUUGAGUGUCAUUAAUAUAACCUCAAACCUUUCUUUUGUUGAAGGGUUUGGAUGUGGGGGUUUUGCUGGGCCUCUUAAGAGGUUCAGCUCCUCUGAAAUGCAUUAGCAGAACAACCUUGCUCAUUGGUGUGAUAACUAUCUACGCUUAUGAAUGUGAGGGGCAGUUCAGCUUUCUAACUGUCUUUGGACAAUUCAUCAUUAAUGUGACCUCAAAUCAGGUAGGACUACCCGCUGAACUUAAGCAUAUCAAUAAGCGGAGGAAAAGAAACUAACAAGGAUUCCCCUAGUAACUGCGAGUGAAGCGGGAAAAGCUCAAAUUUAAAAUCUGGCGGUCUUUUGGCUGUCCGAGUUGUAAUCUAGAGAAGUGUUAUCCGCGCUGGACCGUGUACAAGUCUCCUGA
rnacentral:rRNA from 1 species